rnacentral:rRNA from 1 species
GACGAAGGGGGCUAGCGUUGUUCGGAAUUACUGGGCGUAAAGCGCGUGUAGGCGGUUGUCAAAGUCGGGUGUGAAAGCCUUGAGCUUAACUCAAGAAAUGCACUCGAUACUUGGUGACUAGAGGACCGGAGAGGAUAGUGGAAUUCCCAGUGUAGUGGUGAAAUACGUAGAGAUUGGGAAGAACACCAGUGGCGAAGGCGGCUAUCUGGACGGUUUCUGACGCUAAGACGCGAAAGCGUGGGGAGCGAUCCGG